AGUGAACGCUGGCGGCGUGCCUAAUACAUGCAAGUCGAACGGAAUUUAAGAGGGCUUGCUCUUUUAAAUUUAGUGGCGCACGGGUGAGUAAUAUAUAGCUAAUCUGCCCCUUGCUGGAGGACAACAGUUAGAAAUGACUGCUAAUACUCCAUACUCCUUUUUACCAUAAGAUAAAUCGGGAAAGAAUUUCGGCAAGGGAUGAGACUAUAUCGUAUCAGCUAGUCGGUGGGGUAACGGCCUACCGAGGCUAUGACGCGUAACUGGUCUGAGAGGAUGAUCAGUCACAUUGGAACUGAGACACGGUCCAAACUCCUACGGGAGGCAGCAGUAGGGAAUAUUGCGCAAUGGGGGAAACCCUGACGCAGCAACGCCGCGUGGAGGAUGACACUUUUCGGAGCGUAAACUCCUUUUGUUAGGGAAGAAUAAUGACGGUACCUAACGAAUAAGCACCGGCUAACUCCGUGCCAGCAGCCGCGGUAAUACGGAGGGUGCAAGCGUUACUCGGAAUCACUGGGCGUAAAGGACGCGUAGGCGGAUUAUCAAGUCUCUUGUGAAAUCUAACGGCUUAACCGUUAAACUGCUUGGGAAACUGAUAAUCUAGAGUAAGGGAGAGGCAGAUGGAAUUCUUGGUGUAGGGGUAAAAUCCGUAGAUAUCAAGAAGAAUACCUAUUGCGAAGGCGAUCUGCUGGAACUUAACUGACGCUAAUGCGUGAAAGCGUGGGGAGCAAACAGG
rnacentral:rRNA from 1 species